rnacentral:misc_RNA from 1 species
UGACCAACUCCUACCUUGGUAGGGUCUUGGGCUUCGCCUCCGGGCGGGCCUUAAAAUCAGUGGCGGUGCCUUGAGGCUCUACGCGUAGUAAUUCUUCUCGCGAUAGGGUCCUUGUGGUGACUAGCCAACAACCCCCAACUUCUUAA